rnacentral:rRNA from 8 species
UCUCCGUUGGUGAACCAGCGGAGGGAUCAUUG